GACAGAGGGUGCAAACGUUGUUCGGAAUUACUGGGCGUAAAGGGCGCGUAGGCGGCCUGCUAAGUCGAACGUGAAAUCCCCGAGCUCAACUCGGGAACUGCGUCCGAUACUGGCAGGCUUGAAUCCGGGAGAGGGAUGCGGAAUUCCAGGUGUAGCGGUGAAAUGCGUAGAUAUCUGGAGGAAUACCGGUGGCGAAGGCGGCAUCCUGGACCGGCAUUGACGCUGAGGAGCGAAAGCCAGGGGAGCAAACGGG
rnacentral:rRNA from 1 species